CAUGCAAGAGAGCUGCUCACGUCGACGACAGGUCGCAAGGAAAAAGAAGAAGAAGCCGCCAUUUAUAUGCAUCAUGCCAACACACACACACUGCACACAGCGUGUAUUGAUUGAUGAAAGGCAAUGACACUUUUGUAAACAAAUGAUUUGCACCGGCCGAAUAUUCGAUGAAAUCAGUAGCCUUGCUCAAGGCAGUGGUGAUGGUUGGUGCAUACUGUGUUGGCAUCAUGAAAUCAAAACAGGGUCACAUGGCAGCCUGACAGUGCAAGGGAAACACUCCUCGUUUAAGAAGGAAGUUCGUUCCACCCCUACCCCUAAGCUGCUGUAAAAACUGUGAAAGUUUGAUCUCCUGCCUUACUGCGAGUCAUGGGAAAAGUUAGCCGAGAUGGAUCUGCAUUGGAGUGAAGAUGUGUACGCAAAAACUGAUACAACUCUAGACACUCAUUAAAUUACUCUGGUGCCUGAUUUAAAAAGAAAUGUUCAUACAAAUAAAAUAAUCUUAAUUGCAAUCCUCUGUUUAAUUGGUAACCAAUGAAGCGAUCUUAGAAGGAGCAUGGCAUCACGACGGCGAUUUAACCUAAAUAUAACACGAGCAGCCCAGUUCUGCAAACUGUGAAGUCUCUUUUAAAAUAUGCAUGUGGGUUUUCUGUAAGCAGCCCAUUACAACAAUCUAACCGAGAAAGAACAUGGCUGCGAAUCACAUGAUGUUAUGAAUCGUCAGAUACAUACUUCCUAAUCUGUGACACA